rnacentral:rRNA from 1 species
CCUACGGGUGGCUGCAGUGAGGAAUAUUGGUCAAUGGGCUUACGCCUGAACCAGCCAAGUCGCGUGAGGGAAGACUGCCCUAUGGGUUGUAAACCUCUUUUGUCAGGGAGCAAUUGGCGCUACGUGUAGCGUUCUCGAGAGUACCUGAAGAAAAAGCAUCGGCUAACUCCGUGCCAGCAGCCGCGGUAAUACGGAGGAUGCGAGCGUUAUCCGGAUUUAUUGGGUUUAAAGGGUGCGUAGGCGGAAUGCCAAGUCAGCGGUAAAAUCGCGGGGCUCAACCUCGCUCCGCCGUUGAAACUGGUGUUCUUGAGUGGGCGAGAAGUAUGCGGAAUGCGUGGUGUAGCGGUGAAAUGCAUAGAUAUCACGCAGAACUCCGAUUGCGAAGGCAGCAUACCGGCGCCCAACUGACGCUGAAGCACGAAAGCGUGGGUAUCGAACAGGAUUAGAUACCCGAGUAGUC